rnacentral:rRNA from 1 species
CGGUGGAAUGCGUAGAUAUCGGGAGGAACACCAGUGGCGAAGGCGGCUCUCUAGCCUAAAACUGACAUCGAAAUGCGAAAGCUAGGGGAGCAAACAGGAUUAGAUACCCUGGUAGUCCUAGCUGUAAACGAUGGGUAUUAGACAUCAGUCCGCAAGGGUUGGUGUCGUAGCUAACGCGUUAAAUACCUCACCUGGGGAGUACGGCCGCAAGGCUGAAACUCAAAGGAAUUGACGGGGGCCCGCACAAGCGGUGGAGUAUGUGGUUCAAUUCGACGAUACGCGAAGAACCUUACCGGGGUUUGACAUCCCAGGAAUCUGUCUGAAAGGAUGGAGUGCUCGUAAGAGAAUCUGGAGACAGGUGGUGCAUGGCUGUCGUCAGCUCGUGUUGUGAAAUGUAGGGUUAAGUCCCACAACGAGCGCAACCCUUAUCCUUAGUUACCUCUGUAAAGAGGAUUCUCUAGGGAGACUGCCCCGAAUAACGGGGAGGAAGGUGGGGAUGACGUCAAGUCCUCAUGCCCCUUAUGCCCCGGGCUACACACGUACUACAAUGGUCUGCACAAAGAGGAGCAAGACCGUAAGGUGGAGCAAAUCUCAGAAAGCAGGCCCCAGUUCGGAUUGAGGGCUGCAAUUCGCCCUCAUGAAGUUGGAAUCGCUAGUAAUCGCAGAUCAGCUAUGCUGCGGUGAAUACGUUCCCGGGCCUUGUACACACCGCCCGUCAC